UACGUAGGGGGCAAGCGUUGUCCGGAUUUAUUGGGCGUAAAGAGCGUGUAGGCGGCCUGACAAGUCUGCUGUGAAAACCCGAGGCUCAACCUCGAGAUGUCGGCGGAAACUGUCUGGCUAGAGUCCGGAAGAGGAGAGUGGAAUUCCUGGUGUAGCGGUGAAAUGCGCAGAUAUCAGGAAGAACACCUAUGGCGAAGGCAGCUCUCUGGGACGGUACUGACGCUGAGACGCGAAAGCGUGGGGAGCGAACAGG
rnacentral:rRNA from 1 species